AUGCAUAAUGGGAAAGACGGGAAAUCGGCUACUGAGAUUCUGGAUUUUCAGUAUAUUCGGCCAGCACGUGCCAUCACCCGUAUUGACUCAAAGUACAGAUUUUCUCCUUCUUGUCAUGUUGAGGUCCUUCAUGAAGAUAGCUGGUGGCCUGGUGUUAUCCUGAAUGUCUUAGGCACCAGAACCGACAAGAAGUAUGUGGUAAUGUUGGAUUGUCACAAGACAGAUCUGGAUGACAUCGACCAUAUGGAUAUGCUGAGGGUUGAAAUUACGCAGCUCAGGCCACUGUGUGACUGGGACGGUGAAAAAUGGGUACCCUGCUUGAAGAAGGAAUCUGCUAACGGACCUGAAUCAACUUCUCCAAAAAGGCCGGCUGCCUUGUAUAAUGACUCUGAUAAAAUUAGUGAUGAACCUGGUUCUCAUCGUGACAAAAAGAAGUUGAAGAAUGCAGAUGUGGUGCCAGAACAAAUUUCUCCUCCAUCUGUUGGUAAAGAAAACAUUGAAAUUACUCGUAAGCAGGGAAAUGCAGUAUUGGCACCAAGAUCUGAGUUGUCACCUCCUUCGCUGCCACCAAUGGCAUCAUUUGGCCGUCUGAGUUCUUCAUCUUCACCUGCUACAAGCUGUCAUCUUGCACAAUCAUCUUCUCACAUUCAGGCUUCAUUGUUUGGAGCGUUUGGACAAUCAAGGCCUAUUCCACAGGGCCUGCCAUUAGGAACGCAAUCGCUUAUUAGCUCAUGUUUUACCGGUAUUAAAGGGUCAAAAAAAGUAUUAAGCGAUCAGGAUAAGCAGUCAACUGCUGGAACUGGGACUGUACUGUUCAGACAAAUGAAGCCAAUGGAAAGGAUAGAUGCUAAAGCCAUUGAAGAAGGCAGCAACGUUGUCUCUGUUUCUGAAGACCGUUCACAAUCACACCAAGGUAAUGGAACACAUGAUUCUUGCUGUCCCUUGCCUGCGGAAUCUGUGGCUGUGCAUGAGAGUAUCAUGCACACGAGUGGCCAGCUUUCAGAAUCCUCAGCAAUCCAGCAGCUUCCAAUUGUGAAGACCUCCCCAUUGUGGGCACAGCUUGAGGCACUGGAAAUAUUCAGGACAAUGCCACAGCGGCCAAAUCUCCAUCAGUUUCAGCAGCACGUUCCGGAGCUCCAUGAAGGACUGGCACUAGGUCUGAUGAUCUCUUUUGCUAGUCUGGCAGAAAGCAUAAACAGGCUGGGUGUUGAGGACGACAACGAGCUGCUCGAGCGGAAGAUGAAUUGCCUGGCUUAUCUCGAGGCAAGUGGUUUCGACGUCGGGGACCUGAGAUCGCGCGUGGAAGCUUUACUUCACAUGAAGAAUAGCCGUGCCGAAGUACCGGACGCUUUGAAAAAGCUGGAGGAGGAGAUUGCUCGCGAAGAAGCCGACGACCAAGAACUGGGCACGCAACUUCGCGCCCUGGCUAUGGCUGUCCGUCACCUUGAACUAGAUGCCUAUCUUGUGCGCAACGUAAUAAGGUCUACCGUCGCACGGAGGAUGAACAAUGCCAUGGAGAUCUCGAGGCUCAAGGCGGAAGCGAACAAUCUGUCCUCCGCCGUGCCGCGGUGA
rnacentral:rRNA from 1 species